AGAAUCAACGCUGGCGGCGUGCCUAACACAUGCAAGUCGAACGAGAAAGUGGGAGCAAUCCCACGAGUAAAGUGGCGCACGGGUGAGUAACACGUGACUAACCUACCCUUGAGUGGGGGAUAACCUAGGGAAACCUGGGCUAAUACCGCAUAAUACCUACGGGUCAAAGGAGCAAUUCGCUUAAGGAGGGGGUCGCGGCCGAUUAGUUAGUUGGCGGGGUAAUGGCCCACCAAGACGAUGAUCGGUAUCC
rnacentral:rRNA from 1 species